rnacentral:lncRNA from 1 species
GGAGACAGGCCACAUUUGGGCAGUACGCAUUCGGAGGGCUCUCUGGCUUUCCGAUCUUGGGUCGCUGUACUUGGCUCUGAAUACAGUCACCCCAUCAGAGUAGCAAAACACUGUGGUUGUAGUGUGAGAAUCCAAUGUUAAUGUUGGCCGAAAGCUCUUGAUUUUCUCCCCUGAGAACAUAGGCGUGACGAUUUGGAUGUGUUUCCAAAUGCUUGUUACUCUUUGCCGUAAACCUGGAAUUUGGACCUAUGGCUGCCUGGGACUCAUACUGUCGUGGAGAAAGAUUGAAAAGUAGUUAAUGGCAGUGGUGGUAUGAAGGUGAUGCCACACUCAAUCAGAAACUAUGCUACUGCUGAAGAGGUAUAUUGAGCCCUGCCUGGUUAACCUCCAGUGAGGUUAUUAGAGAAUUGGGAGAGGCUCAAAUCAGCAUCCUGCACCUAGUUAUCAAACCAUUGUGAAUUCUUGAUUCCUGGAUGGCCAGAAAACUUGUCAUUGGUCAAGAGCAACAUUAAGAUCUGCCUGUUACUCAUACUGAUGCUUCCUGCCCAGCAAGUUCAUCAGAGGGCGAGGAUGAAUUACGGUUGCCAUGAAUGUCCUUGUGAGGCAGUUGGGAAGCCUUGGCUGGAUUGUGAAGGAUAUUUGAAAAGUAUUUUA